rnacentral:rRNA from 1 species
CCUGGUUGAUCCUGCCAGUAGUCAUAUGCUUGUCUCAAAGAUUAAGCCAUGCAUGUGUAAGCACACACUGUUUUAAAAGUGAAGCCGCGAAUGGCUCAUUACAACAGCCACAGUUUAUUAGAACUUACAAUCAUGGAUAACUGUGGUAAUUCUAGAGCUAAUACACGCACAAAAACUUCAACUGAAUUGGUUGAAGUGCUUUUAUUAGAACAAAAACCGAACGGCGUUUGGCGAAUGUUGAACGUCGAAACUGUUUGGUGAAUCUGAAUAACUAUUUCUGAUCGCAUGGUCUAGCACCGGCGACAUCACUUUCAAGUGUCUGCCUUAUCAACCUUCGAUGGUAGUCUAUGCGACUACCAUGGUGAUAACGGGUAACGGAGAAUCAGGGUUCGACUCCGGAGAGGGAGCCUGAGAAACGGCUACCACAUCCAAGGAAGGCAGCAGGCGCGCAAAUUACCCACUCCCAGCUUGGGGAGGUAGUGACGAAAAAUAACGAGACGAUUCUCGUUUGAGAAACGUUAUCGAAAUGAGUACGCUUUACACACGCUAACGAGUAGCAAUUGGAGGGCAAGUCUGGUGCCAGCAGCCGCGGUAAUUCCAGCUCCAAUAGCGUAUAUUAAAGUUGCUGCGGUUAAAACGCUCGUAGUUGAAUUGUGGUCUUAGACAACAGUCCCCCUACAUAGGUGUGGCACGGUUGCUCGAGAUCUUCAUUCGUGGUUGCUGUUGUUGCUCUUCAUUGAGUGUCAAUGGUGCCUCGAGAUUUUACUUUGAAAAAAUUAGAGUGCUCAAAGCAGGUUGUGAUGCCUGAAUAAUGGUGCAUGGAAUAAUAGAAUACGAUCUCGGUUCUAUUUUGUUGGCUUUCGAACCGGAGAUAAUGAUUGAAAGGAACAGACGGGGGCAUUCGUAUUGCUGCGUUAGAGGUGAAAUUCUUGGAUCGCAGCAAGAUGAACAAUUGCGAAAGCAUUUGCCAAGAAUGUUUUCAUUAAUCAAGAACGAAAGUUAGAGGUUCGAAGGCGAUCAGAUACCGCCCUAGUUCUAACGGUAAACUUUGCCAACCAGCGAUUCGCCGGAUGGUUAUUUACCGAACUUAAAAGAUUUAUGCGAGCAACAUUUUUCAAGAACGUUUGGAAGAAAUAUAGAGUUACUGGUGUACAAAUUGCUCCAAAAGCACCUGAACAACCAUUACCCCGUUUUGGCUGGAGUCUUUUUUGCGCUGUUUUGUGCAUUUCUUUAGUCUGCAAAGCGAUCAAUGUCGACUGGAGAAAAAAAUCUGAUGCCAUGCGAAGAAGCCAUCAUCAGAGCUCAUUGUCAUAAUGCUGAUCCUGCGACCAGUAAAUACUUUAUGCAGCAAACAAUGCUUCGAAUAAAAAAUCCUGCAAAAUCGAUAGAAUUUUACACUAAAGUUUUGGGCAUGAGAUUACUUCACCGUAUGGAUUUUUCCACUAUGCAGUUUUCAUUGUAUUUCUUGGGAUACGAAGAUAUCAGUUUGAAGCCUGGCGAUUCCAAUGCAGCUAUAGAAUGGACAUUUUCCAGAAGAGCAACUCUGGAAUUAACUCAUAACUGGGGUACUGAAAAUGAUCCAGAUCAAGCUUAUCAUAAUGGAAAUCAAGAACCCAGAGGCUUUGGUCACAUUGGAAUAGCC